GUCUAAGUAUAAGCAAUUAUACCGUGAAACUGCGAAUGGCUCAUUAAAUCAGUUAUCGUUUAUUUGAUAGUACCUUACUACUUGGAUAACCGUGGUAAUUCUAGAGCUAAUACAUGCUUAAAACCCCAACUUCGGGAGGGGUGUAUUUAUUAGAUAAAAAACCAACGCCCUUCGGGGCUUCUUGGUGAUUCAUGAUAACUUUACGGAUCGCAUGGCCUUGCGCCGGCGACGGUUCAUUCAAAUUUCUGCCCUAUCAACUUUCGAUGGUAGAGUAGUGGUCUACCAUGGUUUCAACGGGUAACGGGGAAUUAGGGUUCGAUUCCGGAGAGGGAGCCUGAGAAACGGCUACCACAUCCAAGGAAGGCAGCAGGCGCGCAAAUUACCCAAUCCCGACACGGGGAGGUAGUGACAAUAAAUACUGAUACAGGGCUCUUUUGGGUCUUGUAAUUGGAAUGAGUACAAUUUAAACCUCUUAACGAGGAACAAUUGGAGGGCAAGU
rnacentral:rRNA from 1 species